rnacentral:rRNA from 1 species
UACGUAGGGUGCAAGCGUUAAUCGGAAUUACUGGGCGUAAAGCGUGCGCAGGCGGUGAUGUAAGACAGGUGUGAAAUCCCCGGGCUCAACCUGGGAACUGCAUCUGUGACUGCAUCGCUGGAGUGCGGCAGAGGGGGAUGGAAUUCCGCGUGUAGCAGUGAAAUGCGUAGAUAUGCGGAGGAACACCGAUGGCGAAGGCAAUCCCCUGGGCCUGCACUGACGCUCAUGCACGAAAGCGUGGGGAGCAAACAGG